UCCGUUGCAACGGUUACAAAGAGUACUUCUCAAAAUACCAAGAGGACUUGGACAGCAGUCUGAAUGAAGAUAAAAGAAUCGAAUGUGGCCUGCAGUUUGCUGUGCAACUUCUGCCAUCGCUUUUUAGAGAGGAUGCGACGUAUCUACUCGCUGAUUCGAAUGAGAAUAUCAAAUCUCCAGCUCCAGUUCUUACCUGUGAAGGAGGCGAAUACCAGCUUCACAUCAACGGGGCACCUCUUCUGGCAACAAAAUCAUCAAAGUUUACAAAUGCUUUGGAAGCUCUGUUUCAGUCAUAUUGGGUAUUUUCGUUGGAAUACCCGAAGGAAAUAGAAAAGACGUUACUGUUCUUAGAGUCAUACAUAUUUCAACACAAUACUAAACUACCUGCAUGUGUCUCUACUUGGGCAAAAAAGAUUGGUAUGAAGUUAUAAUUUUCUUCACUAACUUAUAAAAGACUGAAUUUACUUUAUCAAUGCCAUACAUGACUGAUAAUUGGCGUUAUUUUUUAUUUAUUUAUUUAUUUUUUUAAAGAUAACCAAGUGCCAUAGGAACAGGGUCAGGGAUGUGUCAGAGGGCAUGAGAGAAAUUCACUUUCUUUUCGGUAUCCAAUAUCAAACCUUUAACACUGCCCGACAGAAAUCCUUUGUGUUUCAAAGUUUUCUACAUAUGUUAUUGCAAAUUUACUAAAAGAACUCUUCUUUCAAUAGUAAUUAAGCAUGUAACUUGUCUUACUCACUGUUGUCUAUUUUAUGGUUUUUAGAAUAGCAAAUUUAUUUCAAGGACAUGUUCUUUUCAGAGUAAUUAAGAAUAUCAUAUUUUUUUCUUUUAUUUAGAAGCUCUACGUUUAAAGACAAAGAA